AGCAACCACUGGACUCCAUAUGCUCCGGGACUACUGUCGCUACCUGCACCCAGGGAGCAAUUUCUCAAGAUGAAUCAAUAAAACAGCUUCCACCUAUGAUCUACAUUCCUAUGUAGCCUGACAAAGAGACAGAAUGUGCUGAUCAAGUGGGACCUGAGAAUAUGUAAAUGACACCUUGCAUUGUGAACUGACUUGCAGGCGUAAUCGUGCCAACUCCAGCUCCUGUUACACUGCUUCCUGAGUCAGCGUGGCGAAGGCCUGGGCACAGACCUGAAACCAUCUCUGGUCUCAGGGGCUGGGGCAGCCAGUGUGAGGAGAUCCAGCCUGCCCACAGCUAACACACCACUUCCAGCUCUCCUUGUUUUCAACUGAUUCCCACAAUACUUACUUGGACAACAAAGCCAAAGAACUCAAUGCAUCAGGACAAAGUUUAUGUCUGCAUCCCUACGCAUAUGGAGAUUGGAAACUGGCACCAGAUUUAAAGUAUCUGAGGGUUGCAACCAUGCUCCACUUCUCUUCUCUGAAAGCUCUGCUGAUCAAAAUGUGACCUUUCCACUUUCAUUAUCUGGAUCAAGAUAAAGCAUAGCAUAAAGGUGAAGCCCAAAUGCUCUCUCUGCCAGCCAUGUGAUCCUAGGUAAGUAAUUGCCCUCUCUGAGUCUGUAGAAAGGAAUGCUAAACCUCACUGUGUCUAGAUCCACAGGACUGCUAUGAGAACCAACUGAGGCAAUUUAUCUAACAAAAUAUUUCUGCAGAUAUGGUGCAGGCCAGGUAGGGUGCCAGCAUGGUGAUACAGCUAGAAACCAGACAAGGAACAUCUGCCCUCCUCAAGUGUACACCUAAGUUCAGCUUUGCAAGUUGCAAAGUGUUGUACAAAUAUAAAAGUAUAUGAGAUUUGUGCUUGAGGCACUGAGCAGAUAACAGCAUCCUCAUAUCCACACCAUUCACGCUUUCCUGCUCUGCAUAGUUUUUUAUACAAAUGUAAACUAGAAGAUGGUUCUCUAAAGAUAGCUAUUAUAGUCU
rnacentral:lncRNA from 1 species